rnacentral:rRNA from 1 species
AUGAACGCUGGCGGCGUGCUUAACACAUGCAAGUCGAACGAAGCACUUUAUUUGAUUUCCUUCGGGACUGAUUAUUUUGUGACUGAGUGGCCGACGGGUGAGUAACGCGUGGGUAACCUGCCUUGUACAGGGGGAUAACAGUUGGAAACGGCUGCUAAUACCGCAUAAGCGCACAGCAUCGCAUGAUGCAGUGUGAAAAACUCCGGUGGUAUAAGAUGGACCCGCGUUGGAUUAGCUAGUUGGUGAGGUAACGGCCCACCAAGGCGACGAUCCAUAGCCGACCUGAGAGGGUGACCGGCCACAUUGGGACUGAGACACGGCCCAAACUCCUACGGGAGGCAGCAGUGGGGAAUAUUGCACAAUGGGCGAAAGCCUGAUGCAGCGACGCCGCGUGAGCGAAGAAGUAUUUCGGUAUGUAAAGCUCUAUCAGCAGGGAAGAUAAUGACGGUACCUGACUAAGAAGCACCGGCUAAAUACGUG